rnacentral:rRNA from 1 species
UACGGGGGGGCAAGCGUUGUUCGGAAUUACUGGGCGUAAAGGGCUCGUAGGCGGCCAACUAAGUCAUACGUGAAAUCCCUCGGCUUAACCGGGGAACUGCGUCUGAUACUGGAUGGCUUGAGUUCGGGAGAGGGAUGCGGAAUUCCAGGUGCAGCGGUGAAAUGCGUAGAUAUCUGGAGGAACACCGGUGGCGAAGGCGGCAUCCUGGACCGAUACUGACGCUGAGGAGCGAAAGCCAGGGGAGCAAACAGG